GAUGAACGCUGGCGGCGUGCCUAAUACAUGCAAGUCGAGCGAACAGACGAGGAGCUUGCUCCUCUGACGUUAGCGGCGGACGGGUGAGUAACACGUGGAUAACCUACCUAUAAGACUGGGAUAACUUCGGGAAACCGGAGCUAAUACCGGAUAAUAUAUUGAACCGCAUGGUUCAAUAGUGAAAGACGGUUUUGCUGUCACUUAUAGAUGGAUCCGCGCCGCAUUAGCUAGUUGGUAAGGUAACGGCUUACCAAGGCAACGAUGCGUAGCCGACCUGAGAGGGUGAUCGGCCACACUGGAACUGAGACACGGUCCAGACUCCUACGGGAGGCAGCAGUAGGGAAUCUUCCGCAAUGGGCGAAAGCCUGACGGAGCAACGCCGCGUGAGUGAUGAAGGUCUUCGGAUCGUAAAACUCUGUUAUUAGGGAAGAACAAAAGUGUAAGUAACCAUGCACGUCUUGACGGUACCUAAUCAGAAAGCCACGGCUAACUACGUG
rnacentral:rRNA from 1 species